UAGGGAAUCUUCCGCAAUGGACGCAAGUCUGACGGAGCAACGCCGCGUGAGUGAAGAAGGAUUUCGGUUCGUAAAACUCUGUUGUUAGAGAAGAACAGCGCAUAGAGUAACUGUUAUGCGUGUGACGGUAUCUAACCAGAAAGCCACGGCUAACUACGUGCCAGCAGCCGCGGUAAUACGUAGGUGGCAAGCGUUGUCCGGAUUUAUUGGGCGUAAAGCGAGCGCAGGCGGUCAAUUAAGUCUGAUGUGAAAGCCCCCGGCUCAACCGGGGAGGGUCAUUGGAAACGGGUUGACUUGAGUGCAGAAGAGGAGAGUUGAAUUCCAUGUGUAGCGGUGAAAUGCGUAGAUAUAUGGAGGAACACCAGUGGCGAAGGCGACUCUCUGGUCUGUAACUGACACUGAGGUUCGAAAGCGUGGGUAGCAAACAGG
rnacentral:rRNA from 1 species